GACGUCGACGGAUCGAAGUAGCUGCCAAGGACGGAAGCUCACAAGGAACGGUCGCAGGAUGCGACAACCAUCGGGAAUGAUGGACAGACGGAUGAGAGGCGUUUGAAAACGGCGAGGCUAACCCUCGCCGUUUUUGU
rnacentral:sRNA from 1 species